rnacentral:rRNA from 1 species
GAUGAACGCUGGCGGCGUGCCUAAUACAUGCAAGUCGAGCGAACAGACGAGGAGCUUGCUCCUCUGACGUUAGCGGCGGACGGGUGAGUAACACGUGGAUAACCUACCUAUAAGACUGGGAUAACUUCAGGAAACCGGAGCUAAUACCGGAUAAUAUAUUGAACCGCAUGGUUCAAUAGUGAAAGACGGUUUUGCUGUCACUUAUAGAUGGAUCCGCGCCGCAUUAGCUAGUUGGUAAGGUAACGGCUUACCAAGGCAACGAUGCGUAGCCGACCUGAGAGGGUGAUCGGCCACACUGGAACUGAGACACGGUCCAGACUCCUACGGGAGGCAGCAGUAGGGAAUCUUCCGCAAUGGGCGCAAGCCUGACGGAGCAACGCCGCGUGAGUGAGGAAGGUCUUCGGAUCGUAAAACUCUGUUAUUAGGGAAGAACAAAUGUGUAAGUAACUAUGCACGUCUUGACGGUACCUAAUCAGAAAGCCACGGCUAACUACGUG